rnacentral:rRNA from 1 species
GACGAACGCUGGCGGCGUGCUUAACACAUGCAAGUCGAACGAAGAGCGAUGGAAGCUUGCUUCUAUCAAUCUUAGUGGCGAACGGGUGAGUAACGCGUAAUCAACCUGCCCUUCAGAGGGGGACAACAGUUGGAAACGACUGCUAAUACCGCAUACGAUCCAAUCUCGGCAUCGGGACUGGAUGAAAGGUGGCCUCUAUUUAUAAGCUAUCACUGAAGGAGGGGAUUGCGUCUGAUUAGCUAGUUGGAGGGGUAACGGCCCACCAAGGCGAUGAUCAGUAGCCGGUCUGAGAGGAUGAACGGCCACAUUGGGACUGAGACACGGCCCAGACUCCUACGGGAGGCAGCAGGGGGGAAUCUUCCGCAAUGGACGAAAGUCUGACGGAGCAACGCCGCGUGAGUGAUGACGGCCUUCGGGUUGUAAAGCUCUGUUAAUCGGGACGAAUGGUUCUUGUGCGAAUAGUGCGAGGAUUUGACGGUACCGGAAUAGAAAGCCACGGCUAACUACGUG